AGCAGCCGCGGUAAUUCCAGCUCCAAUAGCGUAUAUUAAAGUUGUUGCAGUUAAAAAGCUCGUAGUUGAAUUUCGGGAUCAAUAUGUUGGUCGUGCCUCGGUACGUACUAGCAUAUUGGUUUCUCCUUUCUGAAGAACCAUGAUGUCAUUUAUUUGGUGUCGUGGGGAAUCAGGACUGUUACUUUGAAAAAAUUAGAGUGUUUAAAGCAGGCUCACGCUUGAAUACAUUAGCAUGGAAUAAUGAAAUAGGACGUUUGAUUCUAUUUUGUUGGUUUCUAGGAUCGACGUAAUGAUUAAUAGGGAUAGUUGGGGGCAUUAGUAUUCAAUUGUCAGAGGUGAAAUUCUUGGAUUUAUUGAAGACUAACUACUGCGAAAGCAUUUGCCAAGGAUGUUCUCAUUAAUCAAGAACGAAAGUUAGGGGAUCGAAGACGAUCAGAUACCGUCGUAGUCUUAACCAUAAACUAUGCCGACUAGGGAUCGGAUGAUGUUAAUUUUUU
rnacentral:misc_RNA from 1 species